CACGUAGGGGGCAAGCGUUGUCCGGAAUCAUUGGGCGUAAAGAGCUCGUAGGCGGCUCAGUAAGUCGGGUGUGAAACCCUCAGGCUCAACCUGGGGACGCCACCCGAUACUGCUGUGGCUAGAGUCCAGUAGGGGAGUGUGGAAUUCCCGGUGUAGCGGUGAAAUGCGCAGAUAUCGGGAGGAACACCAAUGGCGAAGGCAGCUCGCUGGGACGGUACUGACGCUGAGACGCGAAAGCGUGGGGAGCAAACAGG
rnacentral:rRNA from 1 species